CCUAACCUUAUCCCUUCACUGUCUCCCCACUGCUCCCUAUUCCAUGGUGGCCACAAGCCCACAACACACACACACACACUAUCUCUCUCUACCUCCUCAGGCCGCCCAUCCUCUUCGUCCCCAUCACCGGAGCGAGGUCUCGCAGGCUCGCACUCCCCCCAAUCUUCUCGGCCCCUCCUCGUCGAGUCUGUCGCUGAAGUGCCCAAGGAUCCGCUCGAGCUCGGCAUGGUCGCUGGGCGCGGGACUCGUCUCCAUCAGAUUGGGGGCAGUGGCAAUCGUGCAUCGCAACCUCCGCGCCCGGUGCCUCCAUCUCCAUCUCGCUCGUCGGUGGCUCCCACCACCCUGUGCGUGCGACUGCGCCGCACCCUACCCUGCCUAGGUCCGGCAGCAGUGCCGCGGUGGCUGGUCCCUGCAAGUGCAAGCCGGCGCCAUUAGACGAUCUAUUCCCCACUUCAGCUUUCAUAUCUGCUUGUAUCUGAUGCUUACAAGAAAUGGAUUUUGAAGACCAUCUAACUAUCUAAGAGUCAUGGAAUUCGUUCCAUCCUAAAUUUUUGGGACUCUGGAAUAAACACAAAGAUGGGAAUGGGGAUGCAUACCUGCCUGCCAUACACAUUGACAUGUUUUCAAUACUCAUCCCGAAGCUUUUCAGCGUUGUACAGAAGAAGUUAUUGACAGGUUUACUUCAUGAUAGUCUUGGCUUUUGUUUUGGCCAAAAUGAUCAGGCAGGUGCGUUGCCUGAGGAGUUCGUCGGCGCCUACGUCGUCGGCCGCGAAAGGGGGCGAUGGCCAAAACUGGCUGGGCGGCGACGGCGCAACAGUGGCUUGCGGCGCCGACGUCUCACUGCAGUGUCCGUCUGAACAGCGACAUCGAAGAAAGACACUGAGAUUAACUGGGAUGGAACCGGCCACAUAUUGCGCACAAGAGGAUAGUCUGCACCUGCUUUCGCGAGAAGCUCUUCGGCGCGGUCGUCGUCCGCGCCACAUGGCUGCGAUGGCGCAGGACAGGCUCUGCGGCUGCGACGUACGUCCGGGUGGGCAAGGGUAGGAAGAUCCAUCUGAUUCCCGUAAGUUUAGCUACUUGUUGUUAGGCGGACGUGUUUAAUUGCCGUUAAUUGUGGCUAAUUUUCUGUAGUUUAGCCAUUUGUUGUUGGGACGCGAACAGAAUUUGUGGAACCGUUCCGAUCUUGUGCGAGCGUGAGUCCAGCAGAGUUUUCGUCCGCCAAGUUCUCUUGUUUCUGAUUUUACACAAAAUUCUAUUUAACAUAUAUGUGCGUUCUUCA